UAUUACUUAUAACUUAUUUGAAUUUUAAUGCAACUCAAGUUGUGCGGCUGGUGAAAAGUGUGGCUUGGAAAAUGUGCUGACAUAACGGCGGGCAUAAAAAA
rnacentral:sRNA from 1 species